CAUUGUUCCUAGAAUAUCUAGGUGAGUGAAAAUAGGCAUCUGAUGCCUUAAUGUAUAUUAAGGUUUUGGCUGCCAGUUCCUUUAAUACUUUGACAAUAUGACGGUUCAUGAAAAAGCAAAACUUAGCAAUCUUAAGUGAUCUUCUAAAGAUAAUAAGCUAUAAGCAAUGUUUUGUUAGGUACCCACGGAAUCUUUAAAGUCAGCUGGAGUGAAAAAAUAGAGUGCUGCUUUUCCAGUCAAUUUAUUGGAAACUACAUUGGCAACACUUUGCAAUGUGUUCAUAUUUUAUAGUCAAAGUUUAUUACUAAUUACUUUGCUAAAUAAAAUGAAAAGUUCAAAACACAGUUGGAAAUUUCUUUUUAAAAAGUUUGGGUUACUUUAGCAAAGAAUAGCAAUAAUGUUCAAAUGUCACGUGUCUUAGCUUUUAUGAUGUUAGACUCUCUGAAAUCAACAGUUCAUUUUCAAUAUUACAUAUGACUAGUUGAUAAACAUUAUACAAAUUCUAACUUGUCAUUUUUGAAGAGAGGACCUUUAUAACACAGACACACUAUAUACUAAAAACCCAAGUUCUUGAAAUUUCAUGCAUCAUGUGCCUACAAAUAAACUAAAUGUUAACCUAGUUCAAAUCAUCCAAAAAUGCAUAAAGGGAAAACAAUCUGCUAACAAUCUGCUAACAUCCCUGAUAAAAAAUAAAUCAUCACAAAACAUAGGACAUUUCCUCCCUACAUUAUAAAGGAUCAAAAAUCACAGGUAAAAAUAUAGUGUUUUUCUAAUCAAUUGAAACAAUAU